CUACGGGCUGCUGCAGUGAGGAAUAUUGCACAAUGGGGGGAACCCUGAUGCAGCAACGCCGCGUGGAGGAUGACGCAUUUCGGUGUGUAAACUCCUUUUAUAUGUCAAGAAAAUGACGGUAGCAUAUAAAUAAGCACCGGCUAACUCCGUGCCAGCAGCCGCGGUAAUAGGGAGGGUGCAAGCGUUACUCGGAAUCACUGGGCGUAAAGGACGCGUAGGCGGGUUGGAAAGUCAGGUGUGAAAUCCUACAGCUUAACUGUAGAACUGCACUUGAAACUUCUAAUCUAGAGUAUGGGAGGGGGAGAUGGAAUUAGUGGUGUAGGGGUAAAAUCCGUAGAUAUCACUAGGAAUACCUAAAGCGAAGGCGAUCUCCUGGAACAUUACUGACGCUAAGGCGUGAAAGCGUGGGGAGCAAACAGGAUUAGAUACCCUCGUAGUC
rnacentral:rRNA from 1 species